AUGAAAAACGCUACCUACUCUAUCGUCUCCUGGAACGUUCGCGGUCUAGGAGACAAUGAUAAGUGCUCCAAUGUGUUCUCUGAAAUCAAUCUCUUACGCCCAUCCAUUGCCCUUCUUCAAGAAACCAAACUACAAAAACCAGACAUAAUCAAACUACGAUCGAUCUUGCCGUGCUUCCUAGACUCUAAUAACCACCUCGACGCAAUCGGAACGGCGGGAGGCAUUCUCUCGGCUUCUAACUCACGUUGCUUCUCGCUUCUCAACUGCCAACACAGGCGUUUCACAUCCACAUUAACGCUAUCAUGUUUUGCAUCACCACACAACAUCUUCAUCACUAAUGUCUACGCCCCCUCGCAACGAGAGCUAAAGCUAGUUUUCCUUGACGAACUGAAACAGAUCGAACCACCACCUCAAUCUCCUUGGCUCCUAAUAGGUGAUUUCAACCUUACUUGAUUCCCCAAUGAACGCAACAACGACAACUUUAGACGAUCGGAGGCAGACGCCUUUAACGACACCAUCGACCAACUUGCACUCUUAGAGCUACCGCUCCUUGAUAGACAAUUUACCUGGUCAAAUAAA
rnacentral:rRNA from 1 species